rnacentral:rRNA from 1 species
GGGUGCGAUCACACCAGCACUAAUACAUCGGAUCCCAUCAGAACUUCGCAGUUAAACAUGUUUGAAAGAUAUAUAGUAAGUUUAUACAUACCAUCUCUGUUAGAAAAUUUUAGUAUGUAUCCA